rnacentral:rRNA from 1 species
GAUGAACGCUGGCGGCGUGCCUAAUACAUGCAAGUCGAGCGAACGGACGAGAAGCUUGCUUCUCUGAUGUUAGCGGCGGACGGGUGAGUAACACGUGGAUAACCUACCUAUAAGACUGGGAUAACUUCGGGAAACCGUAGCUAAUACCGGAUAAUAUUUUGAACCGCAUGGUUCAAAAGUGAAAGACGGUCUUGCUGUCACUUAUAGAUGGAUCCGCGCUGCAUUAGCUAGUUGGUAAGGUAACGGCUUACCAAGGCAACGAUGCAUAGCCGACCUGAGAGGGUGAUCGGCCAAACGGAAACUGGGACCGGGUCCAGACCCCAACGGGAGGCAGCGGUGGGGAAUCUUCCGCAAUGGGGGAAAGCCUGACGGAGCAACGCGGCGGGAGGGAGGAAGGGCUGCGGAUCGUAAAACUCUGUUAUGAGGGAAGAACAGAUGUGUAAGUAACUGUGCAGAUCUUGACGGUACCUAAGCAGAAAGCCACGGCUAACUACGU